ACAGGAAUCGCCUGGGGAUCUUGUCAGAAUACAGAUUCUGAUUCAGGAGGCCUGGGGUGGGGCCUGAGAGUCUGCAUUUCUAACAAGCUCCACGUGGUGCUGAU
rnacentral:pre_miRNA from 1 species